GCUGAACACAACACAAGACAACAGGAAGACUGCAGCCAGAGGCAGCUGGUUCUGUUUUUAUGAGCCAUGAACGACUUCGUUUUUAGUUGGUAUGGAUACCAAACAGAAACUCUGAGCCAUGUUGCUGCCGGGGCACCUCUGCUCUGGGCUGGUUUGAGGAGGACUGUGACGGUGCUGUCUGUCUGGUUCAGAGAGGUCUCCUGGUCAUAAGCAGGCAUGGAGGGUGCUGUGGUGAAUAGGCAGCUUUUGUCAGAAUCCAUUCAUGCUCAUCGUCCUCUAAGAAACUAUGUCUGCUUGGAAAUCAGAUGAUCAGAUUUAUGUAUUGCUAUUCUAGGAAAAAUAUUUUGUCUUGAGAGUUGCAUUCCUUAUUCUAAAACAUGCUUCGUUUGACUUCUCCGACCUGAAAUCUUGGUGGUGAACUGGGUAAUGACGGGAGGGCCGUAGCCCUUGGCUGUGCUGGCACGCAGGGUGAAGGAGUAAGUGGAGCCUGGGUACAGGCCUGUGAACACGUGGGUGGUUUCGUUGCUCAUCUUCACUACUUUCCCACUCUGGUUGGAGAGGUCCAGUUCAGGGUCAAAGGAGCUCACCGCCUUGUAAAAGAUCUAGCACAAAGAGAAGAUGGACAGAAUCUUAUGGUAUUUGCUUGAGCUUGAUAAAAAUGUGUUUUCAUGGAACAAAGAUUUGCCAUCAGAAACAUCCAGAAGCACCAACAGAUAAAGUCUAUUAUAUUUACCAGGUUGAUGCAUGUUAUUACACAAACUCAAUAAUAUACUAAUAUGGAUGUAUAACUGCUGAGGGUAUUCUUUUGUGCAUUAUUCUUGCUUUGAUUGCUUGAAAUAAACCAUUUUAAAUCAAAUCAAAAAACAAAAAGAUGGAUUAUUUCUACUGUCCUAAACUCUAAACUUAACUGCGUAAUUAAGACCUCCACAAAUAGAUUGAUGUCAUUUGUUUUUCAUUGAUGUGUCUGAUUAUAUUUGCUUCAUAAAAAACAAACAGUCACUCUGGUUUCCAAAGGAAGUCCGGUUUAGAGGGACCAUGGAAACAGACUGCCUCAUUACAGGUUCACAUUUGACUUAGAAAGCAGCGCCUCAUAUUUUAAAGCCAAAGCUUGAUGCAUGCUGGUGGAUUUGAGGAUGGAGGAACAAACUAAUGUAUUUCUCUUUCAUUAAAAAAAAACACUGGGAGCUCUGGUGAGAGCCAUUAAGGUUAGUGUUUUUGUUAAUGUUCAUUUUUAAUAAGUGUAGAGUCCUACUUUAACAAAAUGCCUUUGCUGGUAAAGAAGCACCUCCAUUAUAAUUCCAAUUACUAAACACAAAGGGAGUUUGGAGACCUGCAUAAUUUGUAGCCAUCAAGUUUUGAAAUGCUUGAAGGCUUUUCUCAUUUGUUCUUUGUCUGGGAAAUGAGUUUGAACACCAAAAUCCAAUAUCAUAUAAUUUCAGAGGAGUUUGAAAUGACUUGUGGACACUGGACACAUGUGCAGGUCUUUUCAACUACAAUGGAACACCCUGGAACCGAGAAUAAAUACAGAUUUACCAGAAAGAAU